UACAGGGGGUGCAAACGUUGCUCGGAAUUAUUGGGCGUAAAGCGCGCGUAGGCGGUGACUCAAGUCGGAUGUGAAAGCCCUUGGCUUAACCGAGGAAGUGCAUCCGAAACUGGGUCGCUAGAGUACGAUAGAGGGUCGCGGAAUUCCCGGUGUAGAGGUGAAAUUCGUAGAUAUCGGGAGGAACACCGGUGGCGAAGGCGGCGACCUGGGUCGAUACUGACGCUGAGGCGCGAAAGCGUGGGGAGCAAACAGG
rnacentral:rRNA from 1 species